GUCCCUUCAGAGACAUCUGAUAAAAUUGGAAUGAUGCAGAGAACACAAGGAUGAUAUGCACAAAUCGAGAAGAAGUUCAAAUUUUU
rfam:Jatropha curcas cultivar GZQX0401 scaffold645_5, whole genome shotgun sequence.